rnacentral:rRNA from 1 species
UACGAAGGGGGCUAGCGUUGUUCGGAAUUACUGGGCGUAAAGCGCGCGCAGGCGGCCUUUCAAGUCAGGGGUGAAAGCCCAGAGCUCAACUCUGGAAUUGCCUUUGAAACUGACAGGCUUGAGUACGGGAGAGGUGAGUGGAAUUCCCAGUGUAGAGGUGAAAUUCGUAGAUAUUCGGAAGAACACCAGUGGCGAAGGCAGCUCACUGGCCCGUUACCGACGCUCAGGCGCGACAGCGUGGGGAGCAAACAGG